UCUUCCAGAUUUGGGGUUGCACCCAGGAGAACCUCUUCGCAGAGCCAAGAGGAGGUGGAGUCCAAGGCAGGCUUGAUGGGAGUAACACCCGCUCUACACCCUCAUGGCCUCUUGGGGUGCUGCUGGGCAAGUCAAUCAUCUUUUCACUGAGGCUGGCUUCCUCCAAGCUGAUUUCUCUGCACAGGGAGCCCUGGGGUCCCACAGGGACAGAAUGUGAGCAGGGCUCCAGCCAGCCAGGCCAGCAAAAUGGUGCAUGGUGGGUGGCUGGACAGCCACAUUGAUCCAUGGGGGAAGAGGAGGAGGACCAGCCUGAGGAGGAGGACCAGCCUGAGGAGGAGGACCAGCCUGAGGAGGAGGACCAGCCUGCUGCGCUCAGCAGUUUGGUCCCGGCCUGAGAUCCCAGUCUUACAUCCCUGAAUUCCCCUGAGUAACCAAACUCCUCACCAGCCACCAACCACCAGCCACCAACCACCAGCCUGGACCUCAGUUUACCUUAUGCUAGUUCCCACCUGUGGUGGCUUAAAAGAAAAUGGACCCCAAAGGGAGUGGCACUGUUAGGGCAUGUGACUUUGUUGGAGUAGAUGCGGCCUUGUUGGGGGGGAAGUGUGUCACCACACGGGUGGGCUUUAGGUCUUCUUUGCUCAAGCUACACUCAUUGUGGUAGACAGUUCACUUCCUGUCGUCUGCAAAUCAGGAUGUAGGACUCUCAGCUCCUUCUCCAGCACUAUGUCUGCCUGCAUAAUGCCAUGUCCCGCCAUCAUGAUAAUGGACCAAAUCCCUGAACUGUAAAGCCACUCCCAAUUAAAUGUUUCCCUUUAUAAAA